rnacentral:misc_RNA from 1 species
AGCAGCCGCGGUAAUUCCAGCUCCAAUAGCGUAUAUUAAAGUUGUUGCAGUUAAAAAGCUCGUAGUUGAAUUUCGGGAUUGACACAUCGGUCGUGCCUUAAGGGGUAUGAACUGGUGUAGUCAAUUUCUCACCUUCUGGAGAACCGCGAUGCCCUUAAUUGGGUGUCGCGGGGAACCAGGACCUUUACUUUGAAAAAAUUAGAGUGUUUAAAGCAGGCAUUUUGCUUGAAUACAUUAGCAUGGAAUAAUAAAAUAGGACGGCAUGAUUCUAUUUUGUUGGUUUCUAGGAUCACCGUAAUGAUUAAUAGGGAUAGUUGGGGGCAUUAGUAUUCAAUUGUCAGAGGUGAAAUUCUUGGAUUUAUUGAAGACUAACUACUGCGAAAGCAUUUGCCAAGGAUGUUUUCAUUAAUCAAGAACGAAAGUUAGGGGAUCGAAGACGAUCAGAUACCGUCGUAGUCUUAACCAUAAACUAUGCCGA